GCUACAGAGAAAUCAUUCAGAAAGGAUGAGUCAAUCAAUGCAACAUUCUUCAGUGUUACAUUAAAAAUUGCCAUAACCACCCCAGCCUUCAGUAACCACAUCCCGAUCAGUAAACAGCCAUCAACACCAAGUGAGGACUCCAUGAUAAAACAGCUGUCCAGGAACCAGGAAACCGGAUCCACCAGAAACUAA
rnacentral:lncRNA from 1 species